UUGCUUGGUUUGUUUGUUUAAACGUUAACUCAAACAUUGUAAUUAAGAUUGACAUCUGCAAACAAUAUAGACAGGCAUAGUUAAACCGGUAUAUAUAUUAUUUAAAUUUGAUUGAAUGAAAUCACAAUUACAAUUGUCCAAUAUACAAACAAAGGAAUCAAGCUUACCAAAGUCUUACUCUACAUGCAUUAGGGAAUAAGCUCUAAAAUAAAAUAUUUGCAC
rnacentral:lncRNA from 1 species